CACCUGGACUCAGUUUAGAUGAUCCCAAUUUUGUUGGCAACAUCCAAAGCAUCAUAGUCAAGAGCUGAUCAAAUAUAUGCCUUUUUCUUUCCAUUGGGCCUGAUCAGUGUGUUGACCUUGGCCACGUCAACAUCUUAGGGCUUCUUCACAAACUGUUUGAUCUGGUGUUUGUUGGCCUUGACAUCUACAAUGAACACAAGAGUGUUUUUGUCUUUUAUUUUCUUCAUGGCUGACUUGGUAGUCAAGGGGAACUGGAUGAUGGCAUAGUGGUCAAGCUUGUUUCACCUGGGGGUGCUCUUUUGAAGAUAUUUGGACUGCCUUUGGAGAUUCAUUGUCUUGGGCCUUCAGAAUGUAGAUGAUGUAUGGAUUUUUCUUUUCUUUUUUUUUUUUUUUGGUGACUGUGGACACUUUUCAGCACUGCUUUCUUGGCUUUCAAAACCUUUGCUUUGGCUUCAGCUUUGGGAGGGUCAAGGCCUUCCUUCCUCACUAUUGGCGCCAUCAUUAUGAAAGGGCU
rnacentral:lncRNA from 1 species